AGUGGGGAAUAUUGGACAAUGGGCGCAAGCCUGAUCCAGCCAUGCCGCGUGAGUGACGAAGGUCUUCGGAUUGUAAAGCUCUUUUGCCAGGGACGAUAAUGACGGUACCUGGAGAAUAAGCCCCGGCUAACUUCGUGCCAGCAGCCGCGGUAAUACGAAGGGGGCUAGCGUUGUUCGGAAUUACUGGGCGUAAAGCGCACGUAGGCGGAUUUGUAAGUCAGGGGUGAAAUCCCGGGGCUCAACCUCGGAACUGCCUUUGAUACUGCAAGUCUCGAGUCCGGAAGAGGUGAGUGGAAUUCCUAGUGUAGAGGUGAAAUUCGUAGAUAUUAGGAAGAACACCAGUGGCGAAGGCGGCUCACUGGUCCGGUACUGACGCUGAGGUGCGAAAGCGUGGGGAGCAAA
rnacentral:rRNA from 1 species